UACGUAGGGUGCGAGCGUUAAUCGGAAUUACUGGGCGUAAAGCGUGCGCAGGCGGUUUUGUAAGCCAGAUGUGAAAUCCCCGGGCUCAACCGUGAAACUGCCGUUGAUACUGCUUUUCUUGAGUUCGGGAGAGGUUGAUGGAAUUCCAGGUGUAGCGGUGAAAUGCGUAGAUAUCUGGAAGAACACCAGUGGCGAAGGCGGUUCUCUGGGCAUUACCUGACGCUGAGGAGCGAAAGUGUGGGGAGCGAACAGG
rnacentral:rRNA from 1 species